rnacentral:tmRNA from 1 species
GGGGGUGUCUUGGAUUCGACAGGGUUUUUGCAGUUAAAGAAGCCAUUCGUAGUUGGGGGCUACGUUAAAACUCCAAUCUUAAAAUUAAACGCUGAAGAUAAUUUAGCAUUCGCAGCCUAGUUUAGGCUCGUGUCCGUCCUGUUCGCUCACUGACAGGGUUGCGGGCAUCAUACAGGUGAGGAACACCGCUCCGAAAGCUUUGACGAAGCGGAAGAAAUAUGAAGCUACUAAAGUAAGUAGUCUGUCUUUGGACGACUUAUGAAGGGAAUGAAAAAGCAAAGACUGUAAUGGGAGAUGCUUUAAUGAAUGGGAUUUUGGACAGGGGUUCGAUUCCCCUCACCUCCAUCG